rnacentral:rRNA from 1 species
GACGAACGCUGGCGGCGUGCCUAAUACAUGCAAGUAGAACGCUGAAGCGAGGAGCUUACUCUUCUUGGAUGAGUUGCGCACGGGUGAGUAACGCGUAGGUAACCUGCCUUGUAGCGGGGGAUAACUAUUGGAAACGAUAGCUAAUACCGCAUAACAAUGGAUGACACAUGUCAUUUAUUUGAAAGGGGCAAUUGCUCCACUACAAGAUGGACCUGCGUUGUAUUAGCUAGUAGGUGAGGUAAUGGCUCACCUAGGCGACGUUACAGAGCCGACCUGAGAGGGUGGUCGGCCACACUGGGACGGAGACACGGCACAGACUCCUACGGGAGGCAGCAGUAGGGAAACGUCAGCAAGGGGGGGAACCCUGACCGAGCAAGGCCGAGGGAGUGAAGAAGGUUUUCGGAUCGGAAAGGUCGGUUGUAAGUCAAGAACGGGUGUUAGAGUGGAAAGUUCACACUGUGACGGUAGCUUACCAGAAAGGGACGGCUAACUACGUG